UUUACGUGGGGAACAACAGUUGGAAACGACUGCUAAUACCGCAUAAGCUGUGCAAACAGGAAAGAUGGCCUCUGAAUAUGCUGUCGCUAAAAGAUGAGCCCGCGUCUGAUUAGCUAGUUGGUGGGGUAAAGGCCUACCAGGGCGACGAUCAGUAGCCGGCCUGAGAGGGUGAACGGUCACACUGGGACUGAGACACGGCCCAGACUCCUACGGGAGGCAGCAGUGGGGAAUAUUGCGCAAUGGGGGAAACCCUGACGCAGCGACGCCGCGUGAAGCGAAGAAGGCCUUAGGGUUGUUAAAGCUCUGUUUUAGGGGACGAAUGUCACGAUCAGUAAUAUGGGUUGUGAAUGACGGUACCCUAAGAGGAAGCCCCGGCUAACUACGUGCCAGCCGCGGC
rnacentral:rRNA from 1 species